UCCAGACUCCUACGGGAGGCAGCAGUGGGGGAUAUUGCACAAUGGGGGAAACCCUGAUGCAGCGACGCCGCGUGGGCGAAGAAGUAUUUCGGUAUGUAAAGCCCUAUCAGCAGGGAAGAAGAAAUGACGGUACCUGAGUAAGAAGCACCGGCUAAAUACGUGCCAGCAGCCGCGGUAAUACGUAUGGUGCAAGCGUUAUCCGGAUUUACUGGGUGUAAAGGGAGCGCAGGCGGCACGGCAAGCCUGAUGUGAAAGCCCGCGGCCCAACCGCGGGACUGCAUUGGGAACUACCGGGCUGGAGUGCCGGAGAGGUAGGCGGAAUUCCUAGUGUAGCGGUGAAAUGCGUAGAUAUUAGGAAGAACACCAGUGGCGAAGGCGGCUUUCUGGACUGAAACUGACGCUGAGGCACGAAAGCGUGGGGAGCGAACAGGAUUAGAUACCCCGGUAG
rnacentral:rRNA from 1 species